UCAGGAUGAACGCUGGCGGCGUGCCUAACACAUGCAAGUCGGGCGAUCUUCUUCGGAAGAGCGGCGGACGGGUGAGUAACGCUGGGUAACCUGCCCACACACGGAUAACAUACCGAAAGUAUGCUAAUACGGGAUGACAUAUGGAAGUCGCAUGGCUUUUAUAUCAAAGCUCCGGCGGUACAGGAUGGACCCCUGAUUAUAGUUGGUAAGGUAACGGCUUACCAAGGCGACGAUCAGCCGACCAGGGUGAUCGGCCAGAACUGAGACACCCAGACUCCUACGGGAGGCAGCAGUGGGGAAUAUUGCACAAUGGGCGAAAGCCUGAUGCAGCAACGCCGCGUGAGCGAUGAAGGCCUUCGGGUCGUAAAGCUCUGUCCUCAAGGAAGAUAAUGACGGUACUUGAGGAGGAAGCCCCGGCUAACUACGUGCCAGCAGCCGCGGUAAUACGUGGUCGUAAAGCUCUGUCCUCGAAGAUAAUGACGGGCUAGCGUUAUCCGGAAUUACUGUAAAGGGUGCGUAGGCUCUUUCAAGCCAGAAGUGAACUCUCUGGACUGUAACUGACGCUGAGGCACGAAAGCGUGGGGA
rnacentral:rRNA from 1 species